AACGAACGCUGGCGGCAUGCCUAACACAUGCAAGUCGAACGAGACCUUCGGGUCUAGUGGCGCACGGGUGCGUAACGCGUGGGAACCUGCCCUUAGGUUCGGAAUAACUCCCCGAAAGGGGUGCUAAUACCGGAUAAUGUCUUCGGACCAAAGAUUUAUCGCCUUUGGAUGGGCCCGCGUUGGAUUAGCUAGUUGGUAGGGUAAAAGCCUACCAAGGCGACGAUCCAUAGCUGGUCUGAGAGGAUGAUCAGCCACACUGGGACUGAGACACGGCCCAGACUCCUACGGGAGGCAGCAGUGGUGAAUAUUGGACGAUGGGCGAAAGCCUGAUCCAGCAAUGCCGCGUGAGUGAUGAAGGCCUUAGGGUUGUAAAGCUCUUUUACCCGGGAUGAUAAUGACAGUACCGGGAGAAUAAGCUCCGGCUAACUCCGUG
rnacentral:rRNA from 1 species